AUGACCGUAGGGGAUCCUUCCUUAGCGGGUCGGAGCCCAAAGGAACGCAGAGUGGGAGCAGCAGGGGCAUUCUGUUCCCCCUGUCCCGCAGCCCCCAAGCAGCAGGGUCUGAACUGGUGGUUCUCUUUAGCCGUGAGCCCUCAGUUGGUGUCAGCCCGGUGCCAGGCACCCCUAGCUCAUGUUCCCCCCGCGCCCAGCCGGGAAGUGGCCAAACUCAGCAAUAAAUCAAUCCACUGCCACAUCGCUCCCUUCGAUCGAGCAAACACUGCGAUCAGUCCGGUCACUUCUCCUCCCACCCCACCCGCUCUGAGACUGACGCUGCUUCACGGGCUGGGGAUACGGACCCGAGGGAGAUGUACGGUUAAAGAGCCGCUGGAGCGAGCCCCGAGUUCCCGGGGGAGAAGGAAGGUUGGCCUGUGGAGAGGCAGCCAGCAGACCAACUGUGAUUUCUGCCGUAAUUCUUGUGUGUGUUUACGAUCGCUUCGGAGGAGAUGGUUGCCGCAGUGUGUGGCAAGUGCUUCUUCGAGAAAUCCAUCAGCCCUUCUACGGUGA
rnacentral:lncRNA from 1 species